UUACUGCGAUAGUGGAGGCUGAGUCCCGAGGCAGGACGUGCACCUUCUCUUACUCCUGUAGGAUUUUUAGUGCCAUGACCUGACUGAGAGUGUAAAUUUUUUAAAUGGAGAAUUCAGGGAUGUGUUGUGUCAAUCUGGAGGAGCAGAAGGGUGUGAUGAAGAUGGGUCUUAGAAUGGUGUUAGUCGGGCAUGUGAACUUCCUGCUGGGUGCUCUAGUCCAUGGUGUGGUGCUGAGGUACUUCAGCCUCCAGCGGGGACAAGCCAUGGAGAGCGCCAUCUCCAACGUCAUAGCCCUAGCAGCAGGCCUGGUGGGUGUCAUUGUUGGGAUAUUGACUAUAGUUCUCUCAAAAAACAUGAAGAACAGGGUGCUGACCUGGUCACUGUUUGUGUUAAGUGCUCUAGCUGGUCUUGUGGCUGCUGCUUCAGUCAUUGGAUUGACUGUGUCUUUGGUAAAGACAAUCAUUCAUGGUGACAAGAGACUACUUGCUUACUGCGGAUAUAGUGAUGAUUUAAGUCGCCUAAGUACUGCCAAUGAGUGCCCUUUCGACCCCACUCGGAUUUACGGCACCACUAUAUUCCUGUGGGUACCACUGAUACUAAUGAGUGCAGUGGAGAUGGUGUUUUCAUGCUGCUUAUUUAAAUUCUACAUCUCUUACCUCGGUCUGCCAUGUUGCCUCUGCAAACAACAUCCACAAGAUGAGAACAGAUUGAUGAGAGCGUCCGAGCCCCCUCUCCUCCCCUGCUAUGCACCCCCAUCUCGUCGUUGUCAAGGAGACAAAAUGUGGAAGCUGUCCGCUAGAACCCCAGAGUGGCAAAAGCCACGCUAUAGCUCAAGACCUCAGAGCUCCACACGCUCUGGCCAGUGCCAUCAUCCCCCUUCCUCCCAGUUCAAUCGAGGGGCACUGGAAAGGUCCAGUAUCUGGAUCUAAUUAUGAGCCUCACUGUGGCUUUGGCAUGGCUCAGUGCCCUGCAGGACUAAAGGGAAAUUUAAACAAGUGUUACUCUUUUGAAGAGAGAGGAAUAUGACACAGGUGCUUGUACAGGUCGCAACUAACAUGUUGUCACGUUCUGGAUUCUCACUUUGAAUGUUUGCUUUUUUGUGAAACUGAAUUUUGUUGGUUUUAAUACACUGUAAAAAAGUGGGUUUUGUUUUUCAGGUAACCCAAAAUAUGUGGUAACAUCUACGAUAACUGGUUUUAUUCAAGACAAAAAUAUACUUUAGUCUGACUAAAUCAACAUAUUACAUGGCUCGCUGGAAUACUUGAUUCUGAUUGGUCAAUGGCACCAUCCAGCAGUCAGAUAUUGCUCUGUAAUGACCGCACAUCCGGGGAUUUAGAUGGAUCAGACCACUCAUCCAGGUUCUGCGAGCCAUCUCUCCUGUUUCACGGCUCACUGUGCGAUGUCUACAAAGUUCUGGCCACCAUUCACUUGCGUAUAGACCUACAGAGCUGAAAUAUUCUUCGUUUGUGUUCUGCAUAAGAAAGUCAUAUACAUCUGGAAUGGCAUGAGGGUCCUGUAGCAUCUCUGGCCUGAGCUUGCUGUUCUGCUUUCCCAUGAUGAUAAGUCUCUGUGUGCGCAGUGACAACACUGAGGCCUCUGGUCAGACCUGUCUGCAAAAAUGAUAAGAGACAAUUAAGAGAAAC